rnacentral:rRNA from 1 species
CGGCGAGUUACGAUUUGAUGCAAGGUUAAGCAGUAAAUGUGGAGCCGUAGCGAAAGCGAGUCUGAAUAGGGCGUUUAGUAUUUGGUCGUAGACCCGAAACCAGGUGAUCUACCCUUGGUCAGGUUGAAGUUCAGGUAACACUGAAUGGAGGACCGAACCGACUUACGUUGAAAAGUGAGCGGAUGAACUGAGGGUAGCGGAGAAAUUCCAAUCGAACCUGGAGAUAGCUGGUUCUCUCCGAAAUAGCUUUAGGGCUAGCCUCAAGUGAUGAUUAUUGGAGGUAGAGCACUGUUUGGACGAGGGGCCCCUCUCGGGUUACCGAAUUCAGACAAACUCCGAAUGCCAAUUAAUUUAACUUGGGAGUCAGAACAUGGGUGAUAAGGUCCGUGUUCGAAAGGGAAACAGCCCAGACCACCAGCUAAGGUCCCAAAAUAUAUGUUAAGUGGAAAAGGAUGUGGCGUUGCCCAGACAACUAGGAUGUUGGCUUAGAAGCAGCCAUCAUUUAAAGAGUGCGUAAUAGCUCACUAGUCGAGUGACACUGCGCCGAAAAUGUACCGGGGCUAAACAUAUUACCGAAGCUGUGGAUUGUCCUUUGGACAAUGGUAGGAGAGCGUUCUAAGGGCGUUGAAGCAUGAUCGUAAGGACAUGUGGAGCGCUUAGAAGUGAGAAUGCCGGUGUGAGUAGCGAAAGACGGGUGAGAAUCCCGUCCACCGAUUGACUAAGGUUUCCAGAGGAAGGCUCGUCCGCUCUGGGUUAGUCGGGUCCUAAGCUGAGGCCGACAGGCGUAGGCGAUGGAUAACAGGUUGAUAUUCCUGUACCACCUAUAAUCGUUUUAAUCGAUGGGGGGACGCAGUAGGAUAGGCGAAGCGUGCGAUUGGAUUGCACGUCUAAGCAGUAAGGCUGAGUAUUAGGCAAAUCCGGUACUCGUUAAGGCUGA